GAUGAACGCUGGCGGCGUGCCUAAUACAUGCAAGUCGAGCGAAUGGAUUAAGAGCUUGCUCUUAUGAAGUUAGCGGCAGACGGGUGAGUAACACGUGGGUAACCUGCCCAUAAGACUGGGAUAACUCCGGGAAACCGGGGCUAAUACCGGAUAACAUUUUGAACCGCAUGGUUCGAAAUUGAAAGGCGUCGUCGGCUGUGACUUAUGGAUGGACCCGCGUCGCAUUAGCUAGUUGGUAAGGUAACGGCUCACCAAGGCAGCGAUGCGUAGCCGACCUGAGAGGGUGAUCGGCCACACUGGGACUGAGACACGGCCCAGACUCCUACGGGAGGCAGCAGUAGGGAAUCUUCCGCAAUGGACGAAAGUCUGACGGAGCAACGCCGCGUGAGUGAUGAAGGCUUUCGGGUCGUAAAACCCUGUUGUUAGGGAAGAACAAGUGCUAGUUGAAUAAGCUGGCACCUUGACGGUACCUAACCAGAAAGCCACGGCUAACUACGUGCCAGCCGCCGCGGUAA
rnacentral:rRNA from 1 species